GGACUACCCGGGUUUCUAAUCCUGUUCGCUACCCACGCUUUCGUCCAUCAGCGUCAAUCCAUUAGUAGUAACCUGCCUUCGCAAUUGGUAUUCCAUGUAAUCUCUAAGCAUUUCACCGCUACACUACAUAUUCUAGUUACUUCCUAAUAAUUCAAGUUCAGCAGUAUCAAUGGCCGUUCCACCGUUGAGCGAUGGGCUUUCACCACUGACUUACUAAACCGCCUACGGACCCUUUAAACCCAAUGAUUCCGGAUAACGCUUGGAUCCUCCGUAUUACCGCGGCUGCUGGCAC
rnacentral:rRNA from 1 species